rnacentral:rRNA from 1 species
UGAGGAAUAUUGGGCAAUGCCCGCAAGGGUGACCCAGCAACGCCGCGUGGAGGAUGAAUGUCGUAAGAUUGUAAACUCCUGUUAGAGGGGAAGAAUAGUACCGGUUGGACCGGUAUAUGACUGUACCCUCAGAGAAAGCCCCGGCUAACUACGUGCCAGCAGCCGCGGUAAUACGUAGGGGGCAAGCGUUGUCCGGAUUUACUGGGGGUAAAGGGCGCGCAGGCGGGAUAAAAAGUCAGUGGUGAAAUCCUACAGCUUAACUGUAGAACUGCCUUUGAUACUUUUAUUCUUGAGUUCGGGAGAGAGAGACGGAAUUCCAGGUGUAGUGGUGAAAUACGUAGAUAUCUGGAAGAACACCAGUUGCGAAGGCGGUCUCUUGGUCCGACACUGACGCUGAGGCGCGAAAGCGUGGGGAGCAAACA